AUUGAACGCUGGCGGCAGGCUUAACACAUGCAAGUCGAGCGGGGUGAUGGUGCUUGCACUAUCACUUAGCGGCGGACGGGUGAGUAAUGCUUAGGAAUCUGCCUAUUAGUGGGGGACAACAUCUCGAAAGGGAUGCUAAUACCGCAUACGUCCUACGGGAGAAAGCAGGGGAUCACUUGUGACCUUGCGCUAAUAGAUGAGCCUAAGUCGGAUUAGCUAGUUGGUGGGGUAAAGGCCUACCAAGGCGACGAUCUGUAGCGGGUCUGAGAGGAUGAUCCGCCACGCUGGGACUGAGACACGGCCCAGACUCCUACGGGAGGCAGCAGUGGGGAAUAUUGGACAAUGGGGGGAACCCUGAUCCAGCCAUGCCGCGUGUGUGAAGAAGGCCUUAUGGUUGUAAAGCACUUUAAGCGAGGAGGAGGCUCUUUUGGUUAAUACCCAAGAUGAGUGGACGUUACUCGCAGAAUAAGCACCGGCUAACUCUGUGCCAGCAGCCGCAGUAA
rnacentral:rRNA from 1 species